GCGUUAAUCGGAAUUACUGGGCGUAAAGCGUGCGCAGGCGGCUUUUUAAGCCAGACGUGAAAUCCCCGGGCUUAACCUGGGAAUGGCGUUUGGAACUGGAAGGCUAGAGUGUGUCAGAGGGGGGUAGAAUUCCACGUGUAGCAGUGAAAUGCGUAGAGAUGUGGAGGAAUACCGAUGGCGAAGGCAGCCCCCUGGGAUAACACUGACGCUCAUGUACGAAAGCGUG
rnacentral:rRNA from 1 species